rnacentral:rRNA from 1 species
GACGGGGGAUGCAAGCGUUAUCCGGAAUCAUUGGGCGUAAAGCGCCUGCAGGCUGUCCGGCAAGUCCGAGGUCAAAUGCCACGGCCCAACCCUGGAAGGGCAACGGAAACUGCCGGACUAGAGGGUGGUAGGGGUGGAGGGAACUCCUAGUGUAGCGGUAAAAUGCGUAGAUAUUAGGAAGAACACCGGCGGCGAAGGCGCUCCACCAGACCAUUACUGACGCUCAGAGGCGAAAGCUAGGGGAGCGAGAGGG